rnacentral:rRNA from 1 species
AGAACGAACGCUGGCGGCAGGCUUAACACAUGCAAGUCGAACGCUCGUAGCAAUACGGGAGUGGCAGACGGGUGAGUAACGCGUGGGAACAUACCCUCCGGUUCGGAAUAGCUCAGGGAAACUUGGAUUAAUACCGGAUACGGCUGUGAGGCGAAAGAUUUAUCGCCGGAGGAUUGGCCCGCGUUCGAUUAGCUUGUUGGUGAGGUAACGGCUCACCAAGGCGAUGAUCGAUAGCUGGUCUGAGAGGAUGAUCAGCCACAUUGGGACUGAGACACGGCCCAAACUCCUACGGGAGGCAGCAGUGGGGAAUAUUGGACAAUGGGCGCAAGCCUGAUCCAGCCAUGCCGCGUGAGUGAUGACGGCCUUAGGGUUGUAAAGCUCUUUCGCUCGGGACGAUAAUGACGGUACCGAGAUAAGAAGCCCGGCUAACUUCGCGCCAGCAGCCGC